rnacentral:ribozyme from 1 species
CAACAACACAAACAACGAAAAAAACACACAACAACGAAAAAAACAAAAAAAACGAAACCGUCUGUCUUCUUUUUUUAUUUCUCUCCUCUUCUGUCACAUCAUCCCAUCACCUGA